GGGCGAUACGUUCAGAGGUUAUAAACGAAACGCAACAACUAACGUUACCGAUUCGUUUGCUCUACAGCGCGUGCAAGUAAUUUAACAAGAGAUUCGCUUUAUGCGGAAAGUUACUUACAGGCGAGUCGCGUCACACUCGAAUCCAGCGUUUAUCAGACCGUGUGUCGGUUUUAUUUGCAGAUUAGCUGAAAAACAUGUUGUUAAACUUAACAGCUGUCUUCUGCAGGAUCGGCGCGUGUUGUUGUUGUGACUGUCAUCAAGCGUCAUGUUGUCAAGCAGCCGGAGGUGUCAGACUGAAGCUCCACAGACUCAGUGGCUCAGAAGAUAAAACUUUGCAUUGUAAUCCGGGAGCUCGGAGUUCAAAUCCCACUACUGCUUACUUUACGUUGAUCUCAGACAACAAAGUCACUCAAACGCCAAAAAACAACGAGGAAUCCAUGAUGGGUAAACAGUCAAAUAUAAGUUCCUUCUGGUGGUUCAACAAGAGACCUGUGGCUCACAGAAUCGAGCAGCAUUUAGUAAAGCUGGACUGAAUCGUCCUCUGCGUCACUGAUGAGGAGGAUGUGAGUCUGUCUGGAGCUCUGGAUGAUCAUGAGGCUAUAGAUGGAGGAGUGAGACUCUGGCUUCUUCACACCUACAAAAUCAAACAUCACAACAUUUAAUAUACAGAUUAAACCAAAGUAAAAUUGGCUGGUGGAAAUAAUUCUCAGAUGGUUCGGAGAGCAUCCCCUCAUACAUAGAAGAUGUGGUUUGGAGAAUGGAUGGAUGGAUGGAUGGAUAACAGGCACAUGCAUAAGACCAGAAUCACCAGAUCAAUGUGUUAAUGUGUGUGUUAAUCUCCAUUAAUUCAUGGACAAUAAUUGAAACUGCAUUAAUUCGUUAAAAAGCAGGAGAAUGGGAAAAACUCAUAAAGGGAUAUCAUCCACUUUCCUGAUUUUAGCCCCAACCCUGAUUAAAAACAGUUGAAGCAGCAAAUCAAGGUCUUCAGGAUUAAUAAAAACUUUCAGGCUGAUGUGUUGGACUAGUGUCCAGUAACAAUAUAAAAGUUUAUUUGAAUCAACAUAUUGCUAUUUACAAGUUGUGUAUCUGUGAAACAGCAUUAUCAGUUUCAGUUUGAAAUUUGUUACGACCUCAGGCUCCAAAAGGCUGCAACAAAGAAAGGGACACAUGCAGAUAUCCAAAAUAACUCAAGAUUUAUUAGCAAAACAGAAAAUGAAACAAACGAGUGCUACUGGUAACGUCAGUAGAAUCAGUAAUGUAGAGGAAGGUGUAUGAAUGAUGUACUGUAGCCCAUGUGCAAAUGUAACAAAGGAAAAGAGUAAGAACAACAAAAUGAACCAAAAGAUGGAGCCACCUCAUGUUAGUAGAAUGUCUCCUUUUAAAUGACGGGACGAUAGGGAAGCCAGGGGUAGGUGAUGAAACCACUUAGGGAAUCAACCCUCUUCCAAAUACGGGGGGAGGGGGAGUUUGGGC
ensembl:lncRNA